AAACUUUCAACAACGGAUCUCUUGGCUCUGGCAUCGAUGAAGAACGCAGCA
rnacentral:rRNA from 1 species